CGGCUUGCAGCAUACACCUCUGCCCCUCGCUCCUCGCCGACGUGGCGAGGCUCUCCUCCUGCCCGGCGCCUCGCUCCUUGCUAUUCACGCUUAGCGAGAGCUCUGCUGCUGCCCGCGCAGGGCCGUCGAUGUUCUAGCUCGUCCGGAGCCGCUGCAGGCAUCCCGGCCUCCUCCUACACCACUGGCAGCAUCCCGGCCUCCUCCUCCGCCAUCGUCGGGUCUUGCAGAGUUGCCAAGAAGUGAGCCACCAUGCUCGAGAUCAGCGCCAUCCUGCUGGACCUGGACGCCAUGGAUCCACCACUUGUGUCUGAAGCUUAAGUGGUUCAAUCGUCUGUCUGUGAAAGCUAAGCCGAUGGCGGACCGAAGGUGGAUGUAUCUUGAGAACCGUACCUAUAAAUAGUACUUAAAUGGUCUAAAGUUAUUCAUUAGAGGCGGACAAGUCGAAUCGGCGCAUAUCUGCCAUGUGUUUUCCAUGC